UACGAAGGGGGCUAGCGUUGUUCGGAAUCACUGGGCGUAAAGCGCACGUAGGCGGAUCUUUAAGUCAGGGGUGAAAUCCCGAGGCUCAACCUCGGAACUGCCUUUGAUACUGGGGAUCUCGAGUCCGGGAGAGGUGAGUGGAACUGCGAGUGUAGAGGUGAAAUUCGUAGAUAUUCGCAAGAACACCAGUGGCGAAGGCGGCUCACUGGCCCGGAACUGGACGCUGAGGUGCGAAAGCGUGGGGAGCAACAGGGAUUAAGA
rnacentral:rRNA from 1 species